rnacentral:rRNA from 1 species
CCUACGGGUGGCUGCAGUGGGGAAUAUUGGACAAUGGUGGGAACCCUGAUCCAGCGACGCCGCGUGAGUGAAGAAGUAUUUCGGUAUGUAAAGCUCUAUCAGCAGGGAAGCAAAUGCCGGUACCUGACUCAGAAGCCCCGGCUAACUAAGUGCCAGCAGCCGCGGUAAUACGUAGGGGGCAAGCGUUAUCCGGAUUUACUGGGUGUAAAGGGAGCGUAGACGGUGCAGCAAGUCUGAUGUGAAAGCUCGGGGCCCAACCCCGGGCACGCAGUGGAAACUGUUGAUCGGGAGUAGAGGUGAGGUAAGCGGAAUGCCUAGUGUAGCGGUGAAAUGCGUAGAUAUUAGGAGGAACACCAGUGGCGAAGGCGGCUUGCUGGCCUGAAACUGACGUUGAGGCUCGAAAGCGUGGGGAGCGAACAGGAUUAGAUACCCUUGUAGUC